rnacentral:lncRNA from 10 species
UUCCUUCAAGCACGUGGACCGACACCCAGGCCUCCUGGUGUCCUGACACUGCAGACUCCUGGAAUAUACCUCCACCAGCAGGCAGGAAUCUGUCCUAUUCCCAGCAACCACUAGAGGCACUGCCUGACCCUACUGCGGCCACAAGCAGAGGGACCCCAGGAUUCUCAAAUCUGUUACCUUGUCUCACCUCCCCUAGGAAGCAGAAGAGUGCUAUGGAAAUCUCUUAGCUUAGACUCAUAUGAAAGAAGCCUUUGGAAAUCAAAAACUCUGAUCUCUGGAUUUCUGCCAUGAGAGAGGAAAUCUUUAGCUGCUGAUCACAGCUAUAAACGAGAUGAGGAGGGUCCCUGUCCUCUUGGUGUUUCCAGUCUCCCAAAGAAGACAGACAUGAAACAAUGAUGGUUACAGUUCAAGAUGGAGGUACUAUCUGAGCUUAUGGCAAGGGGUUUUAAUCUCAUCCAAAGGGCCAAGGAAUGCCUCUUUAAAGAAGAGAGAACAAAUAAAAAUCAUUCAUAAUUCCAUCACCUAUAAAUAAC